UAUCAUGAACAGUGCUGUAAAAAACAUGAGAGUGCAGAUAUCUCUUUGAUAUACUGAUUUCCUUUCUUUUGGGAAUAUAACCAGCAGUGGGAUUGCUGAAUUAAAUAGUAA